rnacentral:rRNA from 1 species
UACGGAGGGGACUAGCGUUGUUCGGAAUACUGGGCGUAAAGCGCACGUAGGCGGAUUUGUAAGUCAGGGGUGAAAUCCCGGGGCUCAACCUCGGAACUGCCUUUGAUACUGCAAAUCUCGAGUCCGGAAGAGGUGAGUGGAAUUCCUAGUGUAGAGGUGAAAUUCGUAGAUAUCAGGAGGAACACCAAUGGCGAAGGCAGCUCGCUGGGACGGUACUGACGCUGAGACGCGAAAGCGUGGGGAGCAAACAGG